UACGUAGGGUGCAAGCGUUAAUCGGAAUUACUGGGCGUAAAGCGUGCGCAGGCGGUUUUGUAGGCCAGAUGUGAAAUCCCCGGGCUUAACCUGGGAAUGGCAUUUGGGACUGCAAGGCUUGAGUGCGGCAGAGGAGACUGGAAUUCCUGGUGUAGCAGUGAAAUGCGUAGAUAUCAGGAGGAACACCGAUGGCGAAGGCAGGUCUCUGGGCAUUAACUGACGCUGAGGAGCGAAAGCAUGGGGAGCGAACAGG
rnacentral:rRNA from 1 species